AUUGAACGCUGGCGGCAGGCUUAACACAUGCAAGUCGAGCGGGGAAGAGUAGCUUGCUACUUGACCUAGCGGCGGACGGGUGAGUAAUGCUUAGGAAUCUGCCUAUUAGUGGGGGACAACAUCUCGAAAGGGAUGCUAAUACCGCAUACGUCCUACGGGAGAAAGCAGGGGACCUUCGGGCCUUGCGCUAAUAGAUGAGCCUAAGUCGGAUUAGCUAGUUGGUGGGGUAAAGGCCUACCAAGGCGACGAUCUGUAGCGGGUCUGAGAGGAUGAUCCGCCACACUGGGACUGAGACACGGCCCAGACUCCUACGGGAGGCAGCAGUGGGGAAUAUUGGACAAUGGGGGGAACCCUGAUCCAGCCAUGCCGCGUGUGUGAAGAAGGCCUUUUGGUUGUAAAGCACUUUAAGCGAGGAGGAGGCUACCGAGAUUAAUACUCUUGGAUAGUGGACGUUACUCGCAGAAUAAGCACCGGCUAACUCUGUGCCAGCAGCCGCGGUAAUACAGAGGGUGCAAGCGUUAAUCGGAUUUACUGGGCGUAAAGCGCGCGUAGGUGGCCAAUUAAGUCAAAUGUGAAAUCCCCGAGCUUAACUUGGGAAUUGCAUUCGAUACUGGUUGGCUAGAGUAUGGGAGAGGAUGGUGGAAUUCCAGGUGUAGCGGUGAAAUGCGUAGAGAUCUGGAGGAAUACCGAUGGCGAAGGCAGCCAUCUGGCCUAAUACUGACACUGAGGUGCGAAAGCAUGGGGAGCAAACA
rnacentral:rRNA from 1 species